AGCAGCUCCUCUCUGAGGCUGCUGAAGGUGGACAGCAGCAGACGCAUGCUCCUAUCUGCAAUCAGACGAGUCUGGGACAAACAGAGACACAGGGAGACAUGAGUGGGCAGCAGGAUGUGACUUCUGAGAAGUUUGAACUGAGGAAACAUCUUGGAUUAGAGGUGAAACUAACACAGUCCAGUUUCUCCUGGUGUAUCUGCGUUGGAUAUGAUGACCUAGAUAACUGAGAAGUUCCACAGACACGUCGCUGUCCAUUAACUAAGUUCUUACACUGAUGGUACAUCUGGAAGACCAACUUCACUGUGUAAAAGAACUUACUGUGGUGCUGAACUACUUUACAAAACACUGUCUGAGACAGAGGGCUGAUGGAAUGACCAAAUGAUCACAGACUGGGCCACUGUGACUGUUGGACAUGGCAGCAAAAUAAUCAGCAUUCAAAUAAGUGAUUUACAUUGACAUUCCACAGAGGGGCGUGGCGGAGUCAGAUCUAGUGGGUGUGGAUCGGUCUGAUCUGUUGGGCCAAACAAACAUAAGGUGUCAGUGCCAGAUGUACUUGGUUUGACCGGAGCCACGGGUUGAAGACCAAGCCAAGCUGCAGACGGACGCUAAAUUCUACCAGCAGCACUGAGGUCAUACCGCCGUGUGGAAUGUGUGGGAGGAAAACGGCAGCAGCUUCAAGAUAAGAGGUUAGUGUUUUAUGAAUAACUGGUUUUUCUAUAC